rnacentral:rRNA from 1 species
GGGGAAUAUUGGACAAUGGGGGCAACCCUGAUCCAGCCAUGCCGCGUGAGUGAUGAAGGCCUUAGGGUUGUAAAGCUCUUUUGUCCGGGAAGAUAAUGACUGUACCGGAAGAAUAAGCCCCGGCUAACUUCGUGCCAGCAGCCGCGGUAAUACGAAGGGGGCUAGCGUUGUUCGGAAUCACUGGGCGUAAAGCGCACGUAGGCGGAUCGUUAAGUCAGAGGUGAAAUCCCGGAGCUCAACUUCGGAACUGCCUUUGAUACUGGCGAUCUCGAGUCUGGAAGAGGUUAGUGGAACUGCGAGUGUAGAGGUGAAAUUCGUAGAUAUUCGCAAGAACACCAGUGGCGAAGGCGGCUAACUGGUCCAGUACUGACGCUGAGGUGCGAAAGCGUGGGGAGCAAAC